rnacentral:SRP_RNA from 1 species
GCUGGAUGUGGUGGUACACGGUUGUAGUCCCAUCUUCUCCAGAGGCUGAGGCAAUAGGAUCGCUUGAGCCCAAGAGUUCUGGGCUGCAGUGGGCUAUUCGGCUCCGGUGCCUGCACUAAGUUUGGCAUCAGUAUGGUGACCUCCAACGAGCCAGGCAGCACCAGGUUCCCUAAGGAGGGUUGAACCAGCCCAAGUUGGAAAUGAAGCAGGUCAGAACUCAGUAGUGGGAUCGCACCUGCGAAUAGCCACUGCACUCCAGCCUGGGUGACACAGCAAGACCUUAUCUCA